GUGAACGCUGGCGGUAGGCCUAACCCAUGCAAGUCGAACGGCAGCACAGUAAGAGCUUGCUCUUACGGGUGGCGAGUGGCGGACGGGUGAGGAAUACAUCGGAAUCUACUUUUUCGUGGGGGAUAACGUAGGGAAACUUACGCUAAUACCGCAUACGACCUACGGGUGAAAGCAGGGGAUCUUCGGACCUUGCGCGAUUGAAUGAGCCGAUGUCGGAUUAGCUAGUUGGCGGGGUAAAGGCCCACCAAGGCGACGAUCCGUAGCUGGUCUGAGAGGAUGAUCAGCCACACUGGAACUGAGACACGGUCCAGACUCCUACGGGAGGCAGCAGUGGGGAAUAUUGGACAAUGGGCGCAAGCCUGAUCCAGCCAUACCGCGUGGGUGAAGAAGGCCUUCGGGUUGUAAAGCCCUUUUGUUGGGAAAGAAAAGCAGCAGGUUAAUACCCCGCUGUUCUGACAGUACCCAAAGAAUAAGCACCGGCUAACUUCGUG
rnacentral:rRNA from 1 species